rnacentral:rRNA from 1 species
UACGGGGGGGGCAAGCGUUGUUCGGAAUUACUGGGCGUAAAGGGCUCGUAGGCGGCCAACUAAGUCAGACGUGAAAUCCCCAGGCUCAACCUGGGAACUGCGUCUGAUACUGGAUGGCUUGAAUCCGGGAGAGGGAUGCAGAAUUCCAGGUGUAGCGGUGAAAUGCGUAGAUAUCUGGGGGAAUACCGGUGGCGAAGGCGGCAUCCUGGACCGGCAUUGACGCUGAGGAGCGAAAGCUAGGGGAGCAAACGGG